CGCACAUUGCGCCCAUCAGUACUCUGAUGGGCAUGCCUGUUCGAGCGUCAUUUCAACCCUCAAGCCCCUCGGGGCUUGGUGUUGGGGAUCGGCCCGCCCUCGCGGCGCGCCGGCCCCGAAAUCUAGUGGCGGUCUCGCUGUAGCUUCCUCUGCGUAGUAGCAACACCUCGCACCGGAAAGCAGCGUGGCCACGCCGUUAAACCCCCCACUUCUGAAAGGUUGACCUCGGAUCAGGUAGGAAUACCCGCUGAACUUAA
rnacentral:misc_RNA from 1 species